UGGGGAAUUUUGGACAAUGGGCGAAAGCCUGAUCCAGCAAUGCCGCGUGUGUGAAGAAGGCCUUCGGGUUGUAAAGCACUUUUGUCCGGAAAGAAAUCCUUGGCUCUAAUACAGUCGGGGGAUGACGGUACCGGAAGAAUAAGCACCGGCUAACUACGUGCCAGCAGCCGCGGUAAUACGUAGGGUGCAAGCGUUAAUCGGAAUUACUGGGCGUAAAGCGUGCGCAGGCGGUUUGCUAAGACCGAUGUGAAAUCCCCGGGCUCAACCUGGGAACUGCAUUGGUGACUGGCAGGCUAGAGUAUGGCAGAGGGGGGUAGAAUUCCACGUGUAGCAGUGAAAUGCGUAGAGAUGUGGAGGAAUACCGAUGGCGAAGGCAGCCCCCUGGGCCAAUACUGACGCUCAUGCACGAAAGCGUGGGGAGCAAAACAGGAUUAGAUACCCUGGUAGUCCACGCCCUAAAACGAUGUCAACUAGUUGUUAGGGAUUCAUUUUCCUUAGUAACGUAGCUAACGCGUGAAGUUGACCGCCUGGGGAGUACGGUCGCAAGAUUAAAACUCAAAGGAAUUGACGGGGUCAUAGCUGUUUCCU
rnacentral:rRNA from 1 species